ACGCUCGACACCUACGGAGGCAGCAGUGGGGAAUAUUGCACAAUGGGGGAAACCCUGAUGCAGCGACGCCGCGUGAGUGAAGAAGUAAUUCGUUAUGUAAAGCUCUAUCAGCAGGGAAGAAAGUGACGGUACCUGAGUAAGAAGCCCCGGCUAACUACGUGCUAGCAGCCGCGGUAAUCUGAGCGGGCUGGCAAGGC
rnacentral:rRNA from 1 species